UACAGAGGUCCCAAGCGUUGUUCGGAUUCACUGGGCGUAAAGGGUGCGUAGGCGGCGCGGUAAGUCGGGUGUGAAAUCUCGGAGCUUAACUCCGAAACUGCAUUCGAUACUGCCGUGCUUGAGGACUGGAGAGGAGACUGGAAUUUACGGUGUAGCGGUGAAAUGCGUAGAUAUCGUGAGGAAUACCAGAGGCGAAGGCGGCUACCUGGACAAUUGCUGACGCUCAGGCACGAAAGCGUGGGGAGCAAAAGGG
rnacentral:rRNA from 1 species